AUAUGGGCCCCGCGCGCUACCACUGCGCCAUGCUGCU
rnacentral:tRNA from 1 species